UACGAAGGGGGCUAGCGUUGCUCGGAAUCACUGGGCGUAAAGGGUGCGUAGGCGGUCUUUAAGUCAGGGGUGAAAUCCUGGAGCUCAACUCCAGAACUGCCUUUGAUACUGAAGAUCUUGAGUUCGGGAGAGGUGAGUGGAACUGCGAGUGUAGAGGUGAAAUUCGUAGAUAUUCGCAAGAACACCAGUGGCGAAGGCGGCUCACUGGCCCGAUACUGACGCUGAGGCACGAAAGCGUGGGGAGCAAACAGGG
rnacentral:rRNA from 1 species